rnacentral:rRNA from 1 species
GACGAACGCUGGCGGCGUGCUUAACACAUGCAAGUCGAACGGAAAGGCCCUGCUUUUGUGGGGUGCUCGAGUGGCGAACGGGUGAGUAACACGUGAGUAACCUGCCCUUGACUUUGGGAUAACUUCAGGAAACUGGGGCUAAUACCGGAUAGGAGCUCCUGCUGCAUGGUGGGGGUUGGAAAGUUUCGGCGGUUGGGGAUGGACUCGCGGCUUAUCAGCUUGUUGGUGGGGUAGUGGCUUACCAAGGCUUUGACGGGUAGCCGGCCUGAGAGGGUGACCGGCCACAUUGGGACUGAGAGACGGCCCAGACUCCUACGGGAGGCAGCAGGGGGGAAUAUUGCACAAUGGGCGGAAGCCUGAUGCAGAAACGCCGCGUGCGGGAUGACGGCCUUCGGGUUGUAAACCGCUUUCGCCUGUGACGAAGCGUGAGUGACGGUAAUGGGUAAAGAAGCACCGGCUAACUACGUG